AGGUCGGGCGAGUGCUUUGGGACGACAUUCAAGAAUAGGCCGAACCACAACCCGUUCUCAGAUGUGCGCAUCGCCGGUCCCCGACGGCAAUGCG
rnacentral:ncRNA from 1 species